rfam:Larimichthys crocea isolate SSNF unplaced genomic scaffold scaffold183, whole genome shotgun sequence.
GGCUUGUUGGUCUAGGGGUAUGAUUCUUGCUUCAGGUACAAGAGGUCAUGGGUUCAAAUCCAGGAUGAGCCC